UACGUAGGGUGCAAGCGUUGUCCGGAAUUAUUGGGCGUAAAGAGCUCGUAGGCGGUUUGUCGCGUCGAAUGUGAAAACCCGGGGCUCAACCCCGGGCCUGCAUUCGAUACGGGCAGACUAGAGUUCGGUAGGGGAGUCUGGAAUUCCUGGUGUAGCGGUGAAAUGCGCAGAUAUCAGGAGGAACACCCGUGGCGAAGGCGGCUCUCUGGAACGCAACUGACGCUGAGACGCGAAAGCGUGGGGAGCAAACAGG
rnacentral:rRNA from 1 species